GUGCGUUACGCAUCUCCUCUAUCUCCUAAAUCACCGCCUCCUCUUCCCGCAAUCUCUCACCCCCUCCCCGCCAAUUACGCCCGUCUCCUCUAUCCCAAAUCCCAACCCCGCAGCGGAGAUAGUCCUGCCGUCGCUCCAUGCCGCCGCGACGAACGGCAUCGAAGCACGUCCCGCCCUAGCUUCAUGCCGCCGCGAAGUACAGGUGGUGCUCGGGGUCUUUCCACGGGUGAACUGUCGCAGCAGAUCGAGAACGCCAUCCUCUUCUUGAAUUUUGCUGACCGAUCCAUUCCCGCGUCCAAGCCCAACGUCAUCCUCUUCUUGUACUUUGCCGAUCGAUCUGACCCCGCGUCCAAUCACGGAGUCCCGUGGACCGUCUCGAACUUGUAACCAACCCCACUCGCCCCAAUGGACGAUGAUGUGCCCAUGGAGGAUAGGUAUUGCUUCAUCUUCUGGUAUGUAUCCGAUUUGAGCUGUAAUUUCUGUCCAGCUACAAUAUCAUUCUCGUCUUAGGCUAACCCUAUUUCUCCCAGCACUCGCUGAUUGCAGUAUCCCGGAUUACCUGACACCGUGAAGCUGGAGCCUCAUCCGCAGCCAAUAUAAGUGGGUCCUUGUUGGGUGACCAUUUUAGUGCCCAUCGUUGAAUACCUCUCUCUAUUAUAUCUUCAAAUUGUUGCCGGUUUCAGAAGUACAGUGCAGAGUUCGUCUAAGCAUGUUGCAUGCUCUUAUAUUUUGAGAGAGAGCAAGAUAUUUGUGUCUACGUUGUUGUUUCAGUUCAUGACAUUGCUGCUACAAUGAUGACGUUGCUGCUCAUGUUAUAUUUAUUUGACGACUGAUUUGCUGCUUGUUUGUUGCUCCACGCAAUGUAUAUGUCAAGUGAUUCAGAUGAUGAUACAGACAUUAUGUUUUGUGGUUUUGUAUUAGACAAUGCACUGCUCAUUUUUCCCCAUUGUAUUUUAGUUGCUCUUGAUGUUGCUAAAUCUUAGUUAUUUACUCCUAAUACUUAUAUGUUGACUUUCAGGUUGUUCCCUGCCCGUCUCACAUAAACAACCAUUCUCCCUUCUAUGAAUAAGCAUAGUCAUGUG
rnacentral:lncRNA from 1 species